rnacentral:rRNA from 1 species
GAUGAACGCUGGCGGCGUGCCUAAUACAUGCAAGUCGAGCGAACGGACGAGAAGCUUGCUUCUCUGAUGUUAGCGGCGGACGGGUGAGUAACACGUGGAUAACCUACCUAUAAGACUGGGAUAACUUCGGGAAACCGGAGCUAAUACCGGAUGAUAUUUUGAACCGCAUGGUUCAAAAGUGAAAGACGGUCUUGCUGUCACUUAUAGAUGGAUCCGCGCUGCAUUAGCUAGUUGGUAAGGUAACGGCUUACCAAGGCAACGAUGCAUAGCCGACCUGAGAGGGUGAUCGGCCACACUGGAACUGAGACACGGUCCAGACUCCUACGGGAGGCAGCAGUAGGGAAUCUUCCGCAAUGGGCGAAAGCCUCACGGAGCAACGCCGCGUGAGUGAUGAAGGUCUUCGGAUCGUAAAACUCUGUUAUUAGGGAAGAACAUAUGUGUAAGUAACUGUGCACAUCUUGACGGUACCUAAUCAGAAAGCCACGGCUAACUACGUG